UUCGGACUGGAGUCUGCAACCCGACUCCACGAAGUUGGAUUCGCUAGUAAUCGCGCAUCAGCCAUGGCGCGGUGAAUACGUUCCCGGGCCUUGUACACACCGCCCGUCAAGCCAUGGAAGCCGGGAGUACCUGAAGAUCGUGACCGCGAGGAACGGGCUAGGGUAAUACCGGUAACUGGGGCUAAGUCGUAACAAGGUACC
rnacentral:rRNA from 1 species